GUGUGUUUGCUUCCUCUUCUGCCAUGAUUGGAAUUUUCCUGAUGCUUCCUAGCCCUACAGAACUUAGACAGCUCAAAGACUGGAUCUACGUUUGCAUCAUUUGCUGUGUGUAAACUCAGGAAAGUAUGGAUUUUCAUUAUUUUAUUAGUAAGAAAUUUGCCUGCAGUCAACAGGAUGAGCUGUUCGACAGUUGCCUUGAUGGAUCAUUCAUAAUGAUUACUUAGUGCUUGACAGUUACUAAAUAUUAUAGAGUCUAUUUAUUUUUAAUUAUUAUCAGGAAUGAGGUUAAUUGGCUUCAAAAUCACAAUUUUUUUAGGCUACAGGGUGGUGUGCAGGCAUCGUAAGAGUAACCAGAAUUUUACUAUCGUGUUAAAAGCAAAAGGUUCAGCUGGGUGCAGUGGCUAACACCUGCAAUCCCAGCACUUUGGGAGGCCAGGGCAAGCGGAUCACCUGAGGUCAGGAGUUUGAGACCAGCCUGGCCAACGUGGUGAAACCUCAUCUCUACAAAAAUACAAAAAAAUCAGCCGGGCAUGAUAGUGGAUGCCUGUAAUCCCAGCUACUCAGGAGGCUGAGGCGGGAGAGUUGCCUGAACCCAGGAGUCAGAGGUUGGAGUGAGCUGAUAUCACGCCAUUGUACUCCAGCCUGGGCAACAGAGUGAGACUGGAUAAAUACCAUGAAGUUAUUUCAAAUCUACUUCCCUUGGGCAUUUUGAACUAAGCCAUGUUACAUUGUUAAGGUGCAUCAUGUCUAUGAGUCUAAUGAUCAAACUGAGUGGUCAGCAACUUUUUCUGUGAAAACCAAAUCAUGACUACCUUAGGCUUUGAAGGUCAUAGAAUCUCUGAUUUUUGCUAUUUCUGUCGAGAGACAACCUCUUGGAGCUAUUUAUUCUGCUGUUUUUGCAGAAAUCAUCCAAUGGACAAGGUCCAAUUUUGAGUCACAUGGGCUCAGAGGAGAACCCCUAGAUGGCUAACAAAGCAGUCUACAUCAAGCUCUUCUGCUGCAUACCAAUGUGAGACAGUUGUUUCAAAGCAACAGUAACAAAAAUAAAAAAAAUUAAAAAUCUAUAUAAUUAUUUAAGUUGUAAGCAAUUGAAUUAAACGUUCUUUUAGGACAUUAUUCAAAUUGAAAGAAUGACAUACACAAAUUAUGGCUAUUCAGUAUUGGGUAUUUGGUGGAUAUUAUUUCAGAAAUGAAUAAUGUGAACACUUUACUUAAAAAUGGCUAAUGAUCACCACACUGUCUUCCACCUUGGUUGAACUAAUUUACACUCCCACCAACAGGGUAAAAGCGUUCCUAUUUCUCCAUAGCCUCUCUAGCAUCUGUUGUUUCCUGACUUCCUCAAGGAUCUAGAAUCAGAAAUACCAUUUGACCCAGCAAUCCCGUUACUGGGUAUAUACCCAAAGAAUGAUAAUCAUUCUACUAUAAAGAUACAUGCACAUGUAUGUUUAUUGCAGCACUGUUCACAACAGCAAAGACUUGGAACCAACCCAAAUGACCAUCAAUGGUAGACUGGAUAAAGAAAACGUGGCACAUAUACACCAUGGAAUACUAUGCAGAUAUGAAAAAAGAUGAGCUCAUGUCCUUUGCAAGGACAUGGAUGAAGCUGGAAACCAUCAUUCUCAGCAAAUUAACACAGGAACAGUAAACCAAACACUGCAAGUUCUCACUCGUAAGUGGGAGUUGAACAAUAAGAACACAUGGACACACGGAAGGGAACAUCACACAACAGGGCCUGUCAGGGUAUGGGAGACUAGGGGAUGGAUAGCAUUAGAAGAAAUACCUAAUGUAGAUGACAGGUUGAUGGGUGCAGAAAACCACCAUGGCACGUGUAUACGUAUGUAACAAACCUGCACGUUCUGCACAUGUAUCCCAGAACUUAUAGUUUAAUUAAAAAAUAAAAAUAAAAAACCAUUAGAAAAUGGCUAAUGAUAAAAGCUGAGAUAUUCUAAUCUGUAUAUGCUAUAGAAUUAUGGAAAACAUAUCUACCACCAUAAGUUUGAUAGGUUUCCAAUGCAUAGAGACUUUUCUAAUGAAGUCUGUGCUUUUAUUAACGAAUACGAUUUUUGAUAUUAUUUAAAGUGUGUCAAUAUUUGGAAAAGCUGGAUAACCCAUUGAACAAGUAUUUCCUAAAUGACCAAUGCAUGUUACAAAAUCAUCAUGGGUAAAAUAUCCAUUCAUUGUGUAAGAUAGAUUAAAAUGAAUUUUAAUGCAAGACCCCAAAAAAGUAGAAAAAGUGUAUCUAUACAGUUCUGAAUUCUGUAUUGAAACUGCCUUUUAAGAACUACAAUUUGUUCGAGUUUUGAUGUCAUACAAAAGAAGAAUAUUCAUAAUUAUCUGAGAUGGCUAUUAAAAUGUUCCUCCCUUUUCUAAUUACAUGUCUGUGUGAUAAAGGAUUUUCUCCACAUAUACUAACCGAUAUGACAUGCCACAACUGACUGAAUGAAGAAGCAGAUAGAAGAAUCUUGCUGUCCUCUAUUAAGCCAGCUAAAACAGAGAUUUUCAAAAAUUGUUUGAUCAAGGUAUUAUCUUCAAAUGUCACUUUCAUGGAAUGAUGUGGAGGUCCACAAGCCUGGAUCACGGGCUCUGCCAGUGGCUGUGAUGUUACCUGCUGCGGUCUUUCUCUCUUGCUUCGGCACAUGAUGAGACUCUUCUCUGAGGCUCCCUUAUCAACCUAUCAACCCAGAAACUGGACCUGCCAAAGAACACAACUGCCUUCUAUUCUUUCCCUGAAAUGUCAUUAACCAGAGGCGAUUAAAACUCACACCACAGAGGAAGAGAUUGAAAAUUAAAUUCUACAUGUACAGACCAGACAAUCCUUGUCCCAUACUGUAGUCUGUUCUCCACUCCUAUUCAAUUCCCAGAGAGAAUCAUUUACUAAAUAUUGUCUAAGUAUUGGGCCUCAAACAUUCCCCCUGCAUGUCAUUUACCACCCUUCAGAAUGGUCACAAUUUCCCAUCUUUCUUCCUUUAUGAAGAAAGAUAUAUAAACAUCUGUACCUCAUUGAAUUAUUUAGUAAUCACUCUCCUGUGAUUCUCCAGAGCUUAUGUAUGUUAAACCAAUUUGUGUGCUUUUUUUACCUAUGAAUCUGCCUGUUGUCAAUUCAUUUUCAGUGAGCCUUCAGGGGGCAGAGGAAAAACUUCCCCUUGUCCUCUACAAUAAAAUAUGUUUAGAAAAACAUCUGUGUAUUUCUUUUAUUAUUAACUUUUAAAAAUAGAAAUGAGUAUUUAA